CUGCAUACCCUGUUUACCUAAGUCAUGAGGAGAGAGCUGUAUCUAAAUGCUUUUGUUAUUGUUCUUCAAAACACAUACAUUUGAAUUAAUGUGUCUUCUGCUCAAACAUUUAAUUUCCACUAACCAUAGCUGUAUCAACAAAGAGAGCUUGGAUCUGAUGAAAAAUUCCCCACGUUUAAAAGUGGCAUUGCACUUUGGGUUCACUUCUCUCUCAUCAAAAUCAUGUUUGCCAUGCCUUUCCACACAGUGUAUCCCUCCACGGUCUCAUCUGACCUUUCUCUGCAUCUGUGUUUUCGUUGGCUUUCAGACAGGAUGGCUGAAAAUGAGGAGAGAAACAAGAGAAACACACGAACCUUCACAGUCACAGAUGUUUACGGCUGAACGGGACCUCAAGGGUCAACCGUCUGGCAACUGUGGCUAUGUGAAUCAGCGGGUACUGGUCCUAUGGAUAAGGGGGUCCUGUUGUAACUUCCAGUUCUGCAUGAUUUAGUCCAGUAUCUUCUCAUGGCAAGAGAUGUUCCAAAUGUAUCCAGGUGGCUUGAAAUACGGACAGAUUCUGCCAAUGACGCAGACCCCCGAAAGCAAUUACAGCCAAAGUGGAUCUCAGCAUUCCAUUAAUUCACAUCCAAAAGGUUUGCAACAUGUGUGCACACUCAGCUUCAACAAGGACAAAAUACCAAGUCUGUGGAAGUGUACCAUUAGGGCUGUAAAUCCCAAGAGAUUCCAAGUGCAUUUUGAUUAGUCAUAACAUAAAGCAAGAGGUUAUCAGCCCCACCUGGAACAAGAUGAAGCCCUCAGAAUGAAUCAACAGUGGGGAUAGAGACCAACAGAAAUCCAGGAGACGAAAAACAAAUAUCCAAAGGGGGGAGGAAAGCUGCCCCAUUACAGUACUUUGUUUCUUUUCUAUAAGUGGUGCCUCUCAAGAUGAAUUUAAUUCAUUCCAUGGUUAAUGUUGUCUUGCGAAAAAUUCGUUUUGUGAAACGUGUUUUCCCAUAGGAAUGCAUUGAAAUCUAAUUAACGCGUUCCUAUGGGCAAAAAAAGUAAGAACAAAGUCAAAUUUGCUUUACAAAGGGAUUAUUAGGUGCUCUUUAAAGCCAUACAUAUUGUGCAGAUGAUUUCAAAAAUUUCAAUUAAAAAACCUAACUUUUUAAACAUCAUAGAAAAACAUUUAAAAAUCAGCAAACACGAGGCAGGAACAAAAAAACGGAAAACAUUCGUCUUGCAAAGCAUGGCCAUAGGAAGAUUUGUCUUGUGAGUCAUCAACCCCAUUGCCAAAACCAUUUGUCUUGUAAGUUUUUUGUCCUGCGAGGCAUUGGUCUUGUGAGGCACCACUGUAUUGCCUUGCCGUGGAGACAAAGGCCAAUAAGGAAGGCCAGUAUUGCUUGCUUAAUAGUAGAGGGUAUUAUUGUUUGUAGUUUAUCUUCUCAAAAAGAUGGCACACUUUGUAGAGCCUGCUUUCUUUUCUGAAGCAGGAAAAAGGGAAACGAGAAACGGAUUGUGAUACCACCCACUGAUAUGAAAUACAUAUUAGGGCUCCUUGACAUGUUGGAGAUCCUACACAACACCACAGGAACAGCUUCUCCUGCACAGGAUGAGGCACUGUCUCGUUCAGAGAGAAUAAAAUCACAUGGCGUUCUAUGCA
rnacentral:lncRNA from 1 species